GCACCUUAGCUCACUGGGCAGAGCAUCUGCUUUGCAUUUAGAAGGCUUCAGGUUCCAUCCCUGACAUCUCCA